rnacentral:rRNA from 1 species
UACGAAGGGUGCAAGCGUUAAUCGGAAUUACUGGGCGUAAAGGGUGCGUAGGUGGCUUGGUAAGUUUGAUGUGAAAUCUCCGGGCUUAACCCGGAAAUGGCAUUGAAUACUAUUGAGCUGGAGGUUUGGAGGGGGGACUGGAAUUCUCGGUGUAGCAGUGAAAUGCGUAGAUAUCGAGAGGAACACCAGUGGCGAAGGCGAGUCCCUGGACAACACCUGACACUGAGGCACGAAAGCUAGGGGAGCAAACAGG